CAGAUCCUGGCUCCAUCCGUACCAGAGUUGCUGUGACAUGUGAAGCAUCCAUAGAACCUCCCAACAGUGUUCCAGGGAAAAGAUGGUUAUGUUUAUGCUUAGAAGAAGAACAAAUCUGUAAAGCACUUGAAUAACAAUGAAGAAUUAAGGAUCUUCAGAUUGCAUGCAGUAGAACUUGAACUCAAAAUAAUAAUUUCAACAUAAACAGAAAAUGUCAUAUCUCAAAAUUUUUUCAGGCACACAUGGAUCCAAGACCUUCAAUGAAAUAACUGGAAUUUUCUUUCUCUCUCUGUGUGUAUCUCCCUCUCCCUGACCACUUAUUUGCUCAUCUCUCUGCUUUGCUUUCUGUGACAGUCAUUCUCGGCAGACUUUCCUGGCAGGUUCACUACAACCAUAAGAAGUUUUGACUUUGACCUGCUUGGCUCAUCCCAUUGUUGAAUCAAUUCCUGUUGCUAGCAAUGGAAUAAAACGAGGGGGGUAACAUGAGCCCUGUGUCCAUCCCUACUCAAACCCCAGAGACUGCAUAUAUAACACCAGUAGUCCCCGAAGAAUAAUCAAGAUGCCAGCUCAGGAGACUGAGAAGCAAUGCUGAGCCAGGAAUAAAUAAUGUUUCCACUAUAAGCGAGUAAAGAAAUUGUCCAGAGUGUGUUGCUUUUAUAUCUACAGUCAGUUAAACUGCACAAGAAAUACAUAGGGUCUGCUG